rnacentral:Y_RNA from 1 species
GGCCAGUCCGGGUGCAGUGAUAUUUAGACCUAAUUGAUCACAACCAGUUACAGAUUUCUUUGUUCUUUCUUCACUCCCACUGCUUCACUUGAAUAGCCUUUA